rnacentral:piRNA from 1 species
AAGUAUGCUUUGGAAUCCUUCUCUCUC